UCCGUAGGUGAACCUGCGGAGGGAUCAUUACCGAGUUUACAACUCCCAAACCCAAUGUGAACGUUACCAAACUGUUGCCUCGGCGGGAUCUCUGCCCCGGGUGCGUCGCAGCCCCGGACCAAGGCGCCCGCCGGAGGACCAACCAAAACUCUUAUUGUAUACCCCCUCGCGGGUUUUUUUUAUAAUCUGAGCCUUCUCGGCGCCUCUCGUAGGCGUUUCGAAAAUGAAUCAAAACUUUCAACAACGGAUCUCUUGGUUCUGGCAUCGAUGAAGAACGCAGCGAAAUGCGAUAAGUAAUGUGAAUUGCAGAAUUCAGUGAAUCAUCGAAUCUUUGAACGCACACUGCGCCCGCCAGUAUUCUGGCGGGCAUGCCUGUCCGAGCGUCAUUUCAACCCUCGAACCCCUCCGGGGGGUCGGCGUUGGGGAUCGGCCCUGCCUUGGCGGUGGCCGUCUCCGAAAUACAGUGGCGGUCUCGCCGCAGCCUCUCCUGCGCAGUAGUUUGCACACUCGCAUCGGGAGCGCGGCGCGUCCACAGCCGUUAAACACCCAACUUCUGAAAUGUUGACCUCGGAUCAGGUAGGAAUACCCGCUGAACUUAAGCAUAUCAAUAAGCGGAGGA
rnacentral:rRNA from 1 species